UGGGCAACCUGCCCCUCUCUCUGGGAUAACCCCGGGAAACCGGAGCUAAUACCGGAUACUCCGGCUGGAUCGCAUGGUCCGGCCGGGAAAGGUCCGCCGGUCAGGGAUGGGCCCGCGGCCUAUCAGCUUGUUGGUGAGGUAAUGGCUCACCAAGGCGACGACGGGUAGCCGGCCUGAGAGGGUGACCGGCCACACUGGGACUGAGACACGGCCCAGACUCCUACGGGAGGCA
rnacentral:rRNA from 1 species